rnacentral:rRNA from 1 species
UACGUAGGGUGCGAGCGUUGCCCGGAUUUAUUGGGCGUAAAGGGCGCGUAGGCGGCUCGGCACGUCCGUUGUGAAAGCCCCCGGCUCAACUGGGGAGGGUCACGCGAUACUGAUCGACUCGAAGGCAGGAGAGGGAAGUGGAAUUCCCGGUGUAGUGGUGAAAUGCGUAGAUAUCGGGAGGAACACCAGUGGCGAAGGCGACUUCCUGGCCUGUUCUUGACGCUGAGGCGCGAAAGCUAGGGGAGCAAACGGG